CAUUGCUAUCGGGGUCCGAUUCAGCCAUGCUAGUUGUACGGGUUUAGACCCGUAGCAAAUAGCUCCGUAACACGUGGUCAAACUACCCUCUGGACCGGGAUACCCUCGGGAAACUGAGGCUAAUUCCCGAUACUGCUUUCAUGUUGGAACACAGAAAGUCGGAAACGGUCCGCCGCCGGAGGACGUGACUGCGGCCGAUUAGGUAGACGGUGGGGUAACGGCCCACCGUGCCGAUAAUCGGUACGGGUUGUGAGAGCAAGAACCCGGAGACGGUAUCUGAGACAAGAUACCGGGCCCUACGGGGCGCAGCAGGCGCGAAACCUUUACACUGCACGCCAGUGCGAUAAGGGGACCCCGAGUGCGAGGGCAUACAGUCCUCGCUUUUCGUGACCGUAAGAAGGUCUCAGAAUAAGAGCUGGGCAAGACCGGUGCCAGCCGCCGCGGUAAUACCGGCAGCUCGAGUGAUAGCCACUAUUAUUGGGCCUAAAGCGUCCGUAGCCGGCCGAACAGGUCCGUCGGGAAAUCCACCCGCUCAACGGGUGGACGUCCGGCGGAAACCAGUCGGCUUGGGGCCGGGAGACCAGAGAGGUACGUCCGGGGUAGGAGUGAAAUCCCGUAAUCCUGGACGGACCGCCGGUAGCGAAAGCGUCUCUGGAGAACGGACCCGACGGUGAGGGACGAAAGCUUGGGUCUCGAACCGGAUUAGAUACCCGGGUAGUCCAAGCUGUAAACGAUGCUCGCUAGGUGUGGCGUUGGCUACGAGCCAGCGCUGUGCCGUAGGGAAGCCGAGAAGCGAGCCGCCUGGGAAGUACGUCCGCAAGGAUGAAACUUAAAGGAAUGGGCGGGGGGAGCACUACAACCGGAGGAGCCUGCGGUU
rnacentral:rRNA from 1 species